rnacentral:rRNA from 1 species
GACGAACGCUGGCGGCGUGCUUAACACAUGCAAGUCGAACGGAAAGGCCCCUUUGGUGGUACUCGAGUGGCGAACGGGUGCGUAACACGUAAGUAACCUGCCCUUAACUUUGGGACAACUACAAGAAAGUGGGGCCAAUACCGAAAAGGAAUCCUUUCUUCAUGGUGGGGGUUGGAAAGUUUCGGCGGUUCUGGCUGUACUGGAGGGUUAUCAGCUUGUUGGUGGGGUUGUGGAUUACCAAGGCGGCGACGGGUAGCCGGCCUGAGGGGGCGACCGGCCACACUGGGACUGAGGGACGGCCCAGACUCCUACGGGAGGCAGCAGGGGGGAAGAUUGCACGAUGGGCGGAAGCCUGAUGCAGCAGCGCCGCGGGCGGGAUGACGGCCUUCGGGUUGUAGAACGCUUUCAGCAGGGGCGAAGCUUGUGGUGACGGUACCUGCAGAAGAAGCACCGGCUAACUACGUG